rnacentral:rRNA from 1 species
UUGGACAAUGGGCGCAAGCCUGAUCCAGCCAUGCCGCGUGCAGGAAGACGGCCCUAUGGGUUGUAAACUGCUUUUAUACGGGAAGAAUAAGGGACACGUGUGUCCUGGUGACGGUACCGUAAGAAUAAGGACCGGCUAACUCCGUGCCAGCAGCCGCGGUAAUACGGAGGGUCCGAGCGUUAUCCGGAAUUAUUGGGUUUAAAGGGUCCGCAGGCGGGCAAUUAAGUCAGGGGUGAAAUGGUGCGGCUCAACCGUAGCACUGCCCUUGAUACUGGUUGUCUUGAGUCAUAGUGAAGUGGCCGGAAUAUGUAGUGUAGCGGUGAAAUGCAUAGAUAUUACAUAGAACACCGAUUGCGAAGGCAGGUCACUAACUAUCGACUGACGCUGAUGGACGAAAGCGUGGGGAGCGAACGGGAUUAGAUACCCCGGUAGUCCACGCCGUAAACGAUGGAUACUAGCUGUCCGCUACCUUGAGUAGUGGGCGGCCCAGCGAAAGUGAUAAGUAUCCCACCUGGGGAGUACGUUCGCAAGAAUGAAACUCAAAUGAAUUGACGG